GAUGAACGCUGGCGGCGUGCCUAAUACAUGCAAGUCGAGCGAACAGACGAAGAGCUUGCUCCUCUGACGUUAGCGGCGGACGGGUGAGUAACACGUGGAUAACCUACCUAUAAGACUGGGAUAACUUCGGGAAACCGGAGCUAAUACCGGAUAAUAUAUUGAACCGCAUGGUUCAAUAGUGAAAGACGGUUUUGCUGUCACUUAUAGAUGGAUCCGCGCCGCAUUAGCUAGUUGGUAAGGUAACGGCUUACCAAGGCAACGAUGCGUAGCCGACCUGAGAGGGGUACCGCCCACCCGGAAACGGAGCCCCGGCCCAGACCCCUACGGGGGGCAGAAGUGGGGAAUCUUCCGAAAGGGGCGAAAGCCUGACGGGGAAACGCCGGGUGAGGUAAGAAGGUCUUGGGAUCGUAAAACUUUUUUAUUAGGGAAAAAAAAAUUUUAAAGUAAAUAUGCACGUUUUGACGGUACCAAAACAGAAAGCCCCGGCUAACUACGU
rnacentral:rRNA from 1 species